UCCGGUUUGGCACCGGCAGUCCCCCGAGAGUCCUCAGCGCCUUGCGGCCUGUUAGCAACACGGGGCGGGGGUUGCGCUCGUUGCGGGACUUAACCCAACAUCUCACGACACGAGCUGACGACAGCCAUGCAGCACCUGUGCAUGGGCUCCGAAGAGGGGCCAGUGUUUCCACCAGCUUUCCCAUGCAUGUCAAGCCUAGGUAAGGUUCUGCGCGUUGCGUCGAAUUAAACCACAUGCUCCACCGCUUGUGCGGGCCCCCGUCAAUUCCUUUGAGUUUCAGCCUUGCGGCCGUACUCCCCAGGCGGGGCACUUCGUGCGUUAGCGCCGGUACUCAGAGGGUCGCUCCCCUAAGCACCUAGUGCCCAUCGUUUACGGCGUGGACUAC
rnacentral:misc_RNA from 1 species